CAACACGCACAGAAAUACUGAAACACACAAACACAAGUCAGUGGCUGCGUUCGAAACCGAUUACUCAAAGAGAGACAUCAGGCAGCUGCUGGAACAUCUCGCAUUUGGAGACCCUUGAUUUUACAUUUGAAAAAUUUGGUGAACCCCACAUCCUAUUGGCAUCUCAAUGCAGCUGUGCCAAUUCUGCUACUGUGCUGUGCUUCACAAUCUCACUCUUCUCAAUGGGGAUGUUGUUGAGCCAGACGAUGAGAAAGACCAUGAAGAUUGAACCCCACAACCUUGAGGCAAGAGCGGGAGAACAUGUGCGGGACAAUCUGGCUAUCACCGUGUCUGUUCGACUGCCUGUGAAACAUUUAAACAGACCAAAACAUUUUACAAUUCAUGUUGUCAGCAUUACAUUUCUUGACAAAUUUCAUUUCAUGUUUACACUUGCAUGCUAAUUUUUGUUAUAGCUCUAUUACUUUUGUAGUGGGCUAAACCGCUGAACUGGUAAGCAGAAGGUUGCUGGUUUGCAACUACCUGAGCAAGGCACUUUUCUCCAGAGGAUUGGGGAUCCCUGUAAUAAGAGCACUGAGUCACUUUGGAUAAAAGUUUCAUGACUUUAUUUGUUGAUGCUUUUGGAACGUCUGAAAGUCGGCCUCCAUUGACUAAUACUGUAUGAACAGAAACUGGCAGAACAGAAUCACAUCCUCAAUGUCUUUUAGUCUUUUUCUAGAUGCUCUCACUGGCUCUGAGCUCACUGAGGAUGAAGAGGCCACAGCAACAUCUGGCCCAUAUGAGGCAGUAAUGGCAGGUGGAGUGAUGGAGGAACUCAUCCAUGGCACCAGACCAUUUCCAGGAUGCUGCUGUGGAUUUCUCCUUUCUCACUGCUCACACCAGUCUGCAGACAUUUCAGAUCAUACAAAGAAGCAUUUUUUAAUUAUUUUUAAAAUGAUUUAAACAUUUUUGAUUUCUGUACUAAAGUAACAAAAUGAUCUUACUUUAUAUUUUUGCUUCAGGUUUGCUUCCUUUCUUCCCACAAAUGCUGCUGUCACCUGAUCCACCACAAAAGAUCUGCAGAAAAUGCACAGAAAUCACAAAUCAAAAGUGCUGUAAUAACUCUGUUUGAUCUUUGCACCUAAAUAUACAGUUUAGUAAGUCAGCAAAUACGAUUUUAACACAAGGAACCGUGUUUUGGUUUGCAAUACUCACAUUUGUAAACACCCUUGUCGCGGUUCUCAAUCACGUUUGAUGAUGACGUAUUGCUCUCCCGUGGACUCCUGGGAUUGAAAAGUAUCCAUCGAUGAACACUCCAGAAUCUGGGCCGAAGCGGUAGGACAUCCGGGGAUUUCUCGCCUACUCUUUUAGGUUUCGAACGUACUUCUUUCUUCACGUACUCUUUUUUCCUACUAUAUAGUAGGGAAGUAUGCGGCUCGGCACGCAGCCAGUCACAUACGCUUACAGAUGGAUUAUGAAGUGUUUGUGGCAAAGCACACAUCGUAUACACGUCUCACUGUGCACCCCAGUGUAAAUACAUGCAUCUAAAGUUGGUAAUAUAAAAGCAAAUGUGUCUGUGUUCCUUAGACUUUCCUAAGUUUGCCAGGAAAGCGACCAGGGACUACUUUGUUUUUGGACAGUCCAGAACUGCUUGCUGUAUCCUUCAGUGUCCAUAUGAAAACCCAUGAAAUCUUGAACACUAUUCUUAUAAUGGCAAAAAUGACAUUUGAUAUGUUUAGUUGCUAUGUUGAGUUAAACAUUGUUCACAGACACUACUACUACUUUUCCUAGUGUCGCCAGUUGGUGGCGCUAUUUGUCAUAAAAUUAUAGGCUAGCCCUGCAUCCCAAUGAGCAUAC